UGGGGAAUAUUGCACAAUGGGCGCAAGCCUGAUGCAGCCAUGCCGCGUGUAUGAAGAAGGCCUUCGGGUUGUAAAGUACUUUCAGCGGGGAGGAAGGGAGUAAAGUUAAUACCUUUGCUCAUUGACGUUACCCGCAGAAUAAGCACCGGCUAACUCCGUGCCAGCAGCCGCGGUAAUACGGAGGGUGCAAGCGUUAAUCGGAAUUACUGGGCGUAAAGCGCACGCAGGCGGUUUGUUAAGUCAGAUGUGAAAUCCCCGGGCUCAACCUGGGAACUGCAUCUGAUACAGGCAAGCUUGAGUCUCGUAGAGGGGGGUAGAAUUCCAGGUGUAGCGGUGAAAUGCGUAGAGAUCUGGAGGAAUACCGGUGGCGAAGGCGGCACCCUGGACGAAGACUGACGAUCAGGUGCGAAAGCGUGGGGAGCAAACAGG
rnacentral:rRNA from 1 species